GCAGCUAACGCGAUAAGUAGACCGCCUGGGGAGUACGGUCGCAAGACUAAAACUCAAAUGAAUUGACGGGGGCCCGCACAAGCGGUGGAGCAUGUGGUUUAAUUCGAUGCAACGCGAAGAACCUUACCUGGCCUUGACAUACGCUAUAUGAACUUUCCAGAGAUGGAUUGGUGCCUUCGGGAACUUACAUACAGGUGCUGCAUGGCGUGUCGUCAGCUCGUGUCGUGAGAUGUUGGGUUAAGUCCCGCAACGAGCGCAACCCUUUUCCUUAUUUGCCAGCGAGUAAUGUCGGGAACUUUAAGGAUACUGCCAGUGACAAACUGGAGGAAGGCGGGGACGACGUCAAGUCAUCAUGGCCCUUACGGCCAGGGCUACACACGUGCUACAAUGGUCGGUACAAAGGGUUGCUACCUAGCGAUAGGAUGCUAAUCUCAAAAAGCCGAUCGUAGUCCGGAUUGGAGUCUGCAACUCGACUCCAUGAAGUCGGAAUCGCUAGUAAUCGCGGAUCAGAAUGCCGCGGUGAAUACGUUCCCGGGCCUUGUACACACCGCCCGUCACACCAUGGGAGUUUGUUGCACCAGAAGUAGGUAGUCUAACCGCAAGGAGGACGCUUACCACGGUGUGGCCGAUGACUGGGGUGAAGUCGUAACAAGG
rnacentral:rRNA from 1 species